UACGAAGGGGGCUAGCGUUGUUCGGAAUUACUGGGCGUAAAGCGCACGUAGGCGGGUCGUUAAGUCAGGGGUGAAAGCCCGAGGCUCAACCUCGGAACUGCCUUUGAUACUGGCGAUCUUGAGUCCGGGAGAGGUGAGUGGAACUCCGAGUGUAGAGGUGAAAUUCGUAGAUAUUCGGAAGAACACCAGUGGCGAAGGCGGCUCACUGGCCCGGUACUGACGCUGAGAUGCGAAAGCGUGGGGAGCAAACAGG
rnacentral:rRNA from 1 species